rnacentral:lncRNA from 1 species
UGCUCAAAAACCGUCAGUGGCUCCCAGUGGCCUCCAGCGUGAAUGCGUCGCUUGCCUUAGAAGCCCUUGACGUCCGAGCUCUGGACCCCUGUCCCGGCCCGCCCUCCUGGGAGCGCCAGGAGCGGCGCAGUCCACGUGGGCCGCACACGCCGUCCUGGGCGGUUAUUUAAGUCCUCGGCGAGAGCUGUGAGCCUUGAUCCACACUUCUGCCCACCUCCCAGGUCGGGCUCUGCCCCAGGCGUCCCCUCCAGGCUGCUGGGCACCCCCCACCCCCCGCCGGCC